rnacentral:rRNA from 1 species
UACGGAGGGUGCGAGCGUUGUCCGGAAUCACUGGGCGUAAAGGGCGCGUAGGUGGCGCGGGAAGUCAACGGUGAAAGCUCAGGGCUCAACCCUGAGUCGGCCGUCGAUACUCCCGGGCUCGAGCACUGUAGAGGCAGGUGGAAUUCCGGGUGUAGCGGUGGAAUGCGUAGAGAUCCGGAAGAACACCGGUGGCGAAGGCGGCCUGCUGGGCAGUUGCUGACACUGAGGCGCGACAGCGUGGGGAGCAAACGGGG